AUUAAACUAAAGAGUUUGAUCCUGGCUCAGAUUGAACGCUGGCGGCAUGCCUUACACAUGCAAGUCGAACGGUAGAGUAGCAAUACUCGAGAGUGGCGAACGGGUGAGUAAUAUAUCGGAACGUGCCCAGUCGUGGGGGAUAACGUAGAGAAAUUUACGCUAAUACCGCAUACGAUCUAAGGAUGAAAG
rnacentral:rRNA from 2 species